UACGUAGGUGGCAAGCGUUGUCCGGAUUUACUGGGCGUAAAGGGUGCGUAGGCGGGUCUUUAAGUCAGGGGUGAAAUCCUGGAGCUCAACUCCAGAACUGCCUUUGAUACUGAGGAUCUUGAGUCCGGGAGAGGUGAGUGGAACUGCGAGUGUAGAGGUGAAAUUCGUAGAUAUUCGCAAGAACACCAGUGGCGAAGGCGGCUCACUGGCCCGGUACUGACGCUGAGGCACGAAAGCGUGGGGAGCAAACAGG
rnacentral:rRNA from 1 species